rnacentral:lncRNA from 1 species
ACAAAACCCGGAAGGACCCCGCCGAAGGUUUUCUCCGGUUCGGGAGAGAGACGGAGUCCCGCUCUGUCACGCAGGCUGCCAGGCUGGCGUACAGUGGCGCAAUCUCAGCUCGCUGCAACCUCCACCUCCUGGGUUCAAGCGAUUUUCUUGCCUCUGCCUCCUGAGUAGCUGGGAUUACUGGCACACACCACCAUGCACAGUUCCUUGUUCAAAAUGCCAAGAACCUGGAUGACUCAUAGUCAAGACCCUCCACCAGUAACAUAUAUUGGCGAGCCAGCCAGGAGCUUGGAACCCUCGGUGGACAGUGCCUAAGCACAGAGGCAACCACAGGUUUCUAACAGGGCCACUCUCUGGUGAAACUGAAAGGUUUCUGUGUGAAAGUGCCUGACCACCACUGCCCAAUUCAGUUGCAGGAAUUUAGCCAAUUCAGAGGUCUUGUUCUCCAUAAUUUGGAAUUUUCCUUCGGAUUUGAUCAAGUUGGAUAGAGUUGGUCAAACCCAAUGGGAAAAAGAUGAAAACAACAAGAAACAGAAACAAACAGCAACAACAACAACAACAAAAACAAUGCAUUUAAUUAAAUGAAGAUGAGCUCAUGCUGGAGUAGGGUGGACUCUGAACCCAGUGGGACAAGCGUCCUUAUUAAGAAGAGGGAAAUCUGGACACACACAGAGCAGAGACCGCCGUGUGAAGAUGGAGGCAGAGAUCGGAGAGAUGCUGCCACACGCCACAAAUGCCUGGGGCUCCCAGAAACUACACGGAGCCUCCCCCAGCGGCUUCAGCAGGAGCAUGGCUCGGCCAACACUUUGAUCUUGGUCUUCCAGCCUCCAGAACGUUUUCCUAAAAUUCCCUUUUCCACUGGUGUGUGGUGCAAGAUGAGGCACAUUUUCCAUGGAUGGUGAACAGAGGGAGGAGCCUUUUGAUCACAACCAGGUCACCCCACUUCUAAGCCACUGUGCCUCCAGCCCCACAAGACUAAGGAGAGAGAGCGCAGCGUGGUGGAGAGUGAGCUGUGCUGGGACCAUUGUUUCCGUAACCUCGUUUUCUGUGUCCAGCUGACACACCUUCAAAGUGGCAUCAGGUCCUAAACUGUAGCUUGCAAUGUGCCUGUUUCCAGAAACCAAGGUGAAAGUGCUUUUAGACAGUGUUCCCAUGCAAGAGUCCCUUCCCAGCUUUUUUCUGGAAAUGCAUGUUUCUCUGAACUCUGAGUCCCAAGAAAAAUCACUUGAGACACCAAGAAAAUGGGGGAAGUGCUAAAAUUGUGUGGGAAUUCAAGCUUAACAAUAAACAUCAAGACAUUUUUGAUAAAAAUGAAUCCACUGACAUCGGGGAGGAGCAAGAGAACAGCACGCUGACACUGGGUCAGAGGCUAAGACCGACAUUUCUGGGAACCACUCCCGGAAGGGCACAGAGGAGACGCUUUCAGCCUCUCAUCAGCCAGCCUGGCCUGUAGCUGCUGCACGUUAUGAGUGUGUUCCUGGCAUGACUGCUUCUAACAACUGGGUCUCGCUUGUUGCCCAGGCUGUAGUGCACUGGUGCAAUCAUGGCUCACUGCAGCCUUGACCUCCUGGAUCAAGGUAUCCUCCCACCUCUCAGCCUCCCAAGCAGCUGGGACUAUGGGUGCAUGCCACCACACCCAGCUAAUUUUUGUAUUUAUGGAGAUAUGGGUCUCACCAUGUUACCCAGGCUGGUCUUGAACUUCUGGGCUCAAGCCUUCUGCCUGCCCUGGCCUUCCAAAGCAUUGGAAUUACAGGCCUGAGCCACUGUGCUAGGCCAGAGCCAACAGGACUUACUGAGAAAUUAUCUGAGAGAGAGGGGUCAAGGAAGACUCCCCCUGUUCAACCAAGCAACGAGGUGAAUGGUGCUGCUGCUUCCUGAGAUGGGGAAGACUGUAGAGGAAACAAACCAGGAACGACAAAUCAGUAAUUUAGCUUUGAAUACAUUAGGUUUGAGAUGGCUAGUCUGUACCCAAACAGACCACACUGUGGCAUCUGGGCAGCAGGAUCUGCAGAAUCCAGCAGGAUGGAUGCUGAUGCCAAGCUGAGUAGACAGUUGGGUCUGUGAGUCUAAAGCUCAGGGAAGACCUCAGGGUCUGGGAUACAAAUCUGGAGAUCAUCACCCUGUCCAUGAAAGCCAAGGGAAUGAUGGAAGAUACUAUGAGAAAAAGUGAAGAGAGGAAAGAGAAGAGGUCCAUGGAAGGAGACCUGGGAGAAUCCAACCUUCGAUUAGAUCAGGAAGAGGAGAAGAAUCCAGUAAAAAACUCUGAGAAGUCUCUGGGAAGGAAGUCUUCCUUCCUUCCCCUGUACCAGGAGAGGUGCUAUCCCAGAAAUUAGUAAAGAAACAGUUUUUGAUGGGGAGAACAGGAUCACCUUUGUCAACUGCUGCUGCGAGACUUGGAAAAAUAAGGACUGGGAAGAGAGCAAUAGAAACUUUGAAAGCCAUUGGUUAUCUUGAUAAGAGUUGUUUCUGUGGGGGUGGUGAGAACUGGAGCCUGACUGGAUGGGUUCAAGAGAGAAUGGGGAGUUCUAGCCAAGAAGGCUGAUGAGGAUGAGUCAAAUUAAAAAUGUUUUCUUUUUAUGAGUCCUCUCAUAUUUACUGAUACAACUGAUAUAUUGGGUCUCCAUUCUGCCACAUUACUUUAUAUUGAUCAUGUAUUGUAUCUGCUAUGCAAUUGUAUUGCAUGUAUCUGCAUGGCAAUUGUAUUGCCAUGCAAUGUAUUUUUUUUUACUUUAAAAAUUAUA